rnacentral:rRNA from 1 species
GUCCCAAGGGUUGGGCUGUUCGCCCAUUAAAGCGGUACGCGAGCUGGGUUCAGAACGUCGUGAGACAGUUCGGUCCCUAUCCGUCGCGGGCGCAGGAAAUUUGAGAGGAGCUGUCCUUAGUACGAGAGGACCGGGAUGGACAUACCUCUGGUGUACCAGUUGUCGUGCCAACGGCAUCGCUGGGUAGCUAUGUAUGGACGGGAUAAGUGCUGAAAGCAUCUAAGCAUGAAGCCCCCCUCAAGAUGAGAUUUCCCAUUCCGCAAGGAAGUAAGAUCCCUGAAAGAUGAUCAGGUUGAUAGGUCUGAGGUGGAAGUGUGGCGACACAUGGAGCUGACAGAUACUAAUCGAUCGAGGACUUAACCAUAUUU